rnacentral:tRNA from 1 species
GGAGGCGUACCCAAGAGCAGGGACUACCUUGAUAGCGUAGACACGGAAUAUAACAUUCCCGCCUCCC